rnacentral:rRNA from 1 species
UGGUGUAGCGGUGAAAUGCUUAGAUAUCACGAAGAACUCCGAUUGCGAAGGCAGCCUGCUAAGCUGCAACUGACAUUGAGGCUCGAAAGUGUGGGUAUCAAACAGGAUUAGAUACCCUGGUAGUCCACACGGUAAACGAUGAAUACUCGCUGUUUGCGAUAUACUGCAAGCGGCCAAGCGAAAGCGUUAAGUAUUCCACCUGGGGAGUACGCCGGCAACGGUGAAACUCAAAGGAAUUGACGGGGGCCCGCACAAGCGGAGGAACAUGUGGUUUAAUUCGAUGAUACGCGAGGAACCUUACCCGGGCUUAAAUUGCAGAUGAAUUACGGUGAAAGCCGUAAGCCGCAAGGCAUCUGUGAAGGUGCUGCAUGGUUGUCGUCAGCUCGUGCCGUGAGGUGUCGGCUUAAGUGCCAUAACGAGCGCAACCCUUGUUGUCAGUUACUAACAGGUUCCGCUGAGGACUCUGACAAGACUGCCAUCGUAAGAUGUGAGGAAGGUGGGGAUGACGUCAAAUCAGCACGGCCCUUACGUCCGGGGCUACACACGUGUUACAAUGGGGGGUACAGAGGGCCGCUACCACGCGAGUGGAUGCCAAUCCCCAAAACCUCUCUCAGUUCGGACUGGAGUCUGCAACCCGACUCCACGAAGCUGGAUUCGCUAGUAAUCGCGCAUCAGCCAUGGCGCGGUGAAUACGUUCCCGGGCCUUGUACACACCGCCCGUCAAGCCAUGAAAGCCGGGGGUACCUGAAGUGCGUAACCGCAAGGAGCGCCCUAGGGUAAAACUGGU